GGACUCAGCCACUAUGUUGUGAGGAAGCCUAGGCCACAUGGAGAGGCCACAUAGAUGUGUUCCAGGCAGCAGCCCCAGCAAAGGUCUCAAUCAACCACCAUAUGUGUGAGUGAAGGAACCUUCAGAUAAUUUUGCUUCCCAGACUUCAAGUCUUUCAGCUGGGGUCCAAGACAUCACAAGGCAGAGACAAGCCCUCCUGGAAUUCCCCACCCACCGUGAGCAUAAGAAAACUUGAAAGCGGUGUAAAUGGCUCUUAUCUGAACCACAAUGAAUUCACAUAUUCAAGUUGGCUUCUUCGGAAAUUUCAGGCCACAAAUGGCAGUGAUGCGACCAGGAGCAGUAACACGUGCCACUUCCAUCCGGACAGAAGGAACCCAGGUCAAGGCUGACAGGAGGAGCAGGAGCCGUCAAUGAGAGCAGACCUCAGAAGCCAACGGAGGUGAGAAGAGCACCAUCCACAGCCCCAUCCUCUGAAUGCUGUGGGAAGAAGUCCACAAAAUACCACCCCUUGGAGUCAGUCAGUAGUAGAGCCCUUGCUGCUGGCUGCAAAUACCCCAUCAGAACAUGUUUGGGGUGAUUCUUGGACCUGGUUUCAAUUUCUUUUCUGCCAGUCAGCAGUUGUGCUUGACUCACAAUUUGUUGCCAUCUCUUGAAUUAAACUCAGGAAACAGGAUAAAGAUCAGAACCACAUUGUAAAAGCUUCCUUAUGGUUCAUUUUUUGCUGAGAUAAAUAAUGAGCAGCUCUGAUCCAUGUCUCUGGAGAGCUCAGAGCACACUACCAGGAGCUCCUAGCCACAGGGUGAGCACAGGUGGCUGGUGUUCUCUUGAUGAGGAAAGACAGCAGUGUCCAAUCUACCCUGCCUUACACGGAGCCCCAGGUGCUCUCCCGGACUGUGUUGCUACCUAAAGCACAUGGCAAUUGCAUGAUGCUAACCAGAGCAGCCCCUCACUCAUUAGAAACAUCUGCUUUGCAUUAUUUACACAGGCAAAGUUUUCCUUUUUACUGAGCCUACCCAGUUCAAACUUAAGUGGGAUUUGCCAGCUAUCUGGCUAAUUUUAUGAGCAAUAAUAAAGAUUGGUGAACACUU
rnacentral:lncRNA from 1 species